rnacentral:rRNA from 1 species
GUGGGGAAUAUUGCACAAUGGGCGCAAGCCUGAUGCAGCAACGCCGCGUGAGGGAUGACGGCCUUCGGGUUGUAAACCUCUUUUAGUAGGGAAGAAGCGAAAGUGACGGUACCUGCAGAAAAAGCACCGGCUAACUACGUGCCAGCAGCCGCGGUAAUACGUAGGGUGCAAGCGUUGUCCGGAAUUAUUGGGCGUAAAGAGCUCGUAGGCGGCUUGUCGCGUCUGCUGUGAAAACCCGAGGCUCAACCUCGGGCCUGCAGUGGGUACGGGCAGGCUAGAGUGCGGUAGGGGAGAUUGGAAUUCCUGGUGUAGCGGUGGAAUGCGCAGAUAUCAGGAGGAACACCGAUGGCGAAGGCAGAUCUCUGGGCCGUAACUGACGCUGAGGAGCGAAAGCAUGGGGAGCGAACAGGAUUAGAUACCCCAGUAGUCC